UCCCUGGAGGGCUAGUGGUUUGGCCACAGCGCUCUCAUUGCCGCGGCCCAGGUUUGAUUCCCAGCCAGGGAA